rnacentral:rRNA from 1 species
CGGCGUAAAGCGUAGUUAAGACAUAAAAUAAAAUAGGGCCGAAUGACCUCAAGACAGUAAAAUGUGUACGAGACCACUAAGCACAUCUAUGAAAAUGACCCUAAUUUCUCUGACCCUACGAAAGCUAUAAUACAAACUGGGAUUUGAUACCCCACUAUGUUUAGCCGUUAAAAUUAAUGGUACUUCACUCGAACCAUUCGCCUGGAGAUUACGAGCUCAAGCUUAAAACCCAAAGGACCUGGCGAUGCUUUAGAUCCCCCUAGAGGAGCCUGUUCUGUAACUGACAAUCCCCGGUAAACCUCACCACCCCUUGCCAGACUCCGUUUAUAUACCACCGUCGCAAGCUCACCCUUUUGAAGGAAUAAAAGUGAGCUUAAACAGUACUACUGCUAACGUCAGGUCGAGGUGUAGCGUAUGGGGUGGGAAGAAAUGGGCUACAUUCUCUAAAGAAGAGAAUACGAAUGGCAGUUUGAAAAAAUUGCACUGAAGGAGGAUUUAGAAGUAAGAAAGGAAUAGAGUGCCCUACUGAACAAUGGCCCUAAAGCACGUACAAACCGCCCGUCACUCUCCCCACAAUAUCUUCACACAAUCCCUAAUAAGAACAAAUUUUGUAAGGUGAGACAAGUCGUAACAUGGUAAGUGUACCGGAA